rnacentral:rRNA from 1 species
UACGGAGGGGGCUAGCGUUGUUCGGAAUUACUGGGCGUAAAGCGCGUGUAGGCGGCCCGGUAAGUCCGCUGUGAAAGUCGGGGGCUCAACCCUCGAAUGCCGGUGGAUACUGUCGGGCUAGAGUGCGGAAGAGGCGAGUGGAAUUCCUGGUGUAGCGGUGAAAUGCGCAGAUAUCAGGAGGAACACCAAUUGCGAAGGCAGCUCGCUGGGACGUGACUGACGCUGAGACGCGAAAGCGUGGGGAGCAAACAGG